rnacentral:rRNA from 1 species
AAAUGAAUUGACGGGAACCCGCACAAGCGGUGGAGUAUGUUGUUUAAUUCGAAGAUACACGAAGAACCUUACCAGGUCUUGACAUACCAUUGACAGGUCUAAAGAUAGACUCUCCUUCGGGCAAUGGAUACAGGUGGUGCAUGGUUGUCGUCAGCUCGUGCCGUGAGGUGUUGGGUUAAGUCCCGCAACGAGCGCAACCCUCAUUGUUAGUUACUACCAUUCAGUUGAGGACUCUAAUGAGACUGCCAACGACAAGUUGGAGAAGGUGGGGAUGACGUCAAAUCAUCAUGCCCUUUAUGACCUGGGCUACAAACGUACUACAAUGGCCAAUACAAAGAGAUGCGAAGCGGUGACGUGGAGCGAACCUCAGAAAGUUGGUCUCAGUUCAGAUUGAAGUCUGCAACUCGACUUCAUGAAGGCGGAAUCGCUAGUAAUCGCGGGUCAGCAGACCGCGGUGAAUACGUUCCCGGGUUUU